AUCGAACGUUGGCGGCAGGCCUAACACAUGCAAGUCGAGCGGAGUGUCGGACGGGCGAGUCAUGCCUAGGUAUCUGCCUGGUCGUGGGGGAUAACGUCCGGAAACGGGCGCUAAUACCGCAUACUAUCAGAUGAGCCUAGGUCGGAUUAGCUAUUUGGUGGGGUAAAGGCCUACCAAGGCGACGAUCCGUAACUGGUCUGAGAGGAUGAUCAGUCACACUGGAACUGAGACACGGUCCAGACUCCUACGGGAGGCAGCAGUGGGGAAUAUUGGACAAUGGGCGAAAGCCUGGUCCAGCCAUGCCGCGUGUGUGAAGAAUGUCUUCGGGUUGUAAGGCACUGAUGUUUAGAAGGCGGUACCAACAGAGUAAGCACCGGCUAAGUACAUGCAAGCAGCCGCGGUAAUAC
rnacentral:rRNA from 1 species